rnacentral:pre_miRNA from 1 species
UCAGGUACUGAGUGACUCUGAGUAAUUUAAUUCUCAGAGGCACUUGGUUUCUGGCC